UACGGGGGGGGGCAAGCGUUGUUCGGAAUUACUGGGCGUAAAGGGCUCGUAGGCGGCGCGGUAAGUCGGGUGUGAAAUCUCGGAGCUUAACUCCGAAACUGCAUUCGAUACUGCGGUGCUUGAGGACUGGAGAGGAGACUGGAAUUCAUGGUGUAGCAGUGAAAUGCGUAGAGAUCAUGAGGAAGACCAGUGGCGAAGGCGGGUCUCUGGACAGUUCCUGACACUGAGGCACGAAGGCCAGGGGAGCAAACGGG
rnacentral:rRNA from 1 species